GGUGGGGGGCACCCUCCCCUGCUGCCCCCCCUGCUCCUCUCAGCCCUCGCCAGCGGCGAUGAGGCUGGGGGUGCUCUCAAGGCCUGUUUGGAAAGCAGGAGGCUGCUAUGAGCUCGCCGGGGAGCAGCAGAGGGAAGGGGCAGCUGCCGCAGCACACCUGAACGUGCGGCCGGCGGCCAGGAGAGAGCAAGGAGCGGCACUGAGCCCGCUCCCGGCGGGAACGUCUCCUCGGAGGGAGAAAAUGAGCGAGGGAAGGACAUCUUGAGCCGCAGCUGAAUCGCUGAGGAGGCGCGGGAAUAAUCACACUGAAAUUACAGACGAGUAGAGCCGGGAUCCGUUCCUCUCGCACCGGGCUGGACCUUCCCACCAGAGACCGUGCCAGCGGAGCAGGUAAGGAGCGCUGCUGGGAGAAGUCCCUGGAAUGCCGGUCAGCCCUGCGCCCACGUCCCCGCUUCUCCCUGCGCUGGAGGAGCCCUCCCGGUUCAGAGAUGCCGCUGCUGCCUCGUGGGGCUAGGGCUCUCCUGCCAUCGCCGGCCGGGUCCGCUUUCAUAAAUCUGAGCCCGAGUGAUUUAGAAACUGCUUUGCCUUCCCUGCUUGCCUAACAGCCUGCAAACUCCCAUCCACUAAAUCACCUGCCUGAAGGGAACGCUUCCAGCUGCAGCACGAGGGUGGCGAAAGGGAAAGGGAUGUGCAAAAUGGUUGAAAAAGCAAAACCAUUGGGGAAAAAAAAAAAACAACAACCUGGGCAAAGAUAAGCUGGGAGUGAGCCUCGCCAGCUGCGCUCCCCUGGAAAAACACAAAGCGGAGCUGAGGCGGCCAUCAUCUGUGGGAUGCUUCUCUGGGACGUCCUGCUCUGGCUGGAGCUCGCCCUGCAGCCGGCAGCAAACCCUGCCCGAAACAGAUCACUGGCCCUCCGGUUCACCUGCAAUUAAAAAAAAAAAACAACCUAAAGAAAAUAUCCUCUGUGGCUCAUGCCUCUCCUGUUUCUAUAGGGCUGUGAGAAGCGGUGUGAGUCAGAGGCGCUUCCGAGCUCGGGGAGGAGGCUGCGUCCCUGCCGAGCCGCAGAUAAAAGGCGAUCGGUCCCGGAGGCGCGCGGGGCUCUGGCCGCCCGCGCCGCUGCUAAUGCACAUUUACUGUCGCGUCCUUGGAAAAACGCUCGGAACUUGCUCGAGAGCCUGCGUGUGCUCCCUCGGAUACACCCAGAAGGAUUGCUCGGAGAGGAGCAGGAAUAAUCACCACAGACCCAAGAUAAAAAAAAAAAAAUAAUCAAAGACUAAUCCUAAAAACUCUCCUUUAAUCUUUGUGCUUCCAGACCUAGUCUCCCUUUCAUCUAGGACUUUGCUGUUCUCUGGUUGUUCUACAGUUAUAGAAACUGCAAGGCUAGAAGAGGAGAAGAAAAAAGAAAAGAUUAAAUUAAUGAGCAGGUAAGCAGGUUUAUUAUUUCAUCUGAUCCUUCCUUCCUUCCUGCUAAUUUCUCUGAGCCAAUUUGGGAGGUAGAGCCCAACGUUAACUUUGUGACAGACUGUUGCAUCCGUUUUCUUCCUGCACCGUUUCUCUGAACAACAUGAAGGUCCAAUUUGCGUAGCGCUUUAAGGAACAGCGCAGCGAGGGCGUAUCGGCCGAGCCGGGGCGUCCGAUGAGAAAAGCAUUUGCCCGCAUAAAAAUAACGAAACGGAUCCUUUGGGCUUCUGGUAAUUAUCUAUGCGCUAUGCCCUCAUUAGGCAAUAUAGGAACAGCAGCCGCAGCACCCAGCACGGGCGCAGCGACCCGGCUCGGCUACGGCUGGAGCGGGUCACCAGGAAAAGCAACUCACCUUCGGCGGCUUCAGGAGCAGACGCUGCGGAGCGAAUCCCUGCCAUCCGAAAGGAGUCGAAGAGCG